rnacentral:rRNA from 1 species
AAUUUUGGACAAUGGGGGGAACCCUGAUCCAGCCAUCCCGCGUGUGUGAUGAAGGCCUUCGGGUUGUAAAGCACUUUUGACAGGGAAGAAACAACACUGGCUAAUACCCAGUGCCAAUGACGGUACCUGUAGAAUAACCACCGGCUAACUACGUGCCAGCAGCCGCGGUAAUACGUAGGGUGCAAGCGUUAAUCGGAAUUACUGGGCGUAAAGGGUACGCAGGCGGCUAGGAAAGAAGGAUGUGAAAUCCCAGGGCUCAACCUUGGAACUGCAUUCUUAACUGCCUAGCUAGAGUAUGUCAGAGGGGGGGUAGAAUUCCACGUGUAGCAGUGAAAUGCGUAGAUAUGUGGAGGAAUACCGAUGGCGAAGGCAGCCCCCUGGGAUAAUACUGACGCUCAGGUACGAAAGCGUGGGGAGCAAACAG